GAUCAUGGCUCAGAACGAACGCUGGCGGCGCGUCUUAAGCAUGCAAGUCGAACGGCAAGAUAAGAGCUUGCUCUUAUCCUAGAGUGGCGGACUGGUGAGUAACGCGUAGGUGACGUACCCUCAGAUGGGGAUAGCCGCUAGAAAUAGCGGAUAAUACCGAAUACGGUCCCGUGUGUCAGAGACACGGGAGGAAAGGAGCUUCGGCUCCGCUGAAGGAACGGCCUGCGUCCUAUCAGCUGGUUGGCGGGGUAACGCCCACCAAGGCAAUGACAGGUAUCCGGCCUAAGAGGGUGAACGGACACAUUGGGACUGAGAUACGGCCCAGACUCCUACGGGAGGCAGCAGCUAAGAAUAUUCCGCAAUGGACGAAAGUCUGACGGAGCGACGCCGCGUGGACGAAUGAAGGCCGGAAGGUUGUAAAGUCCUUUUAUAUAUGAGGAGUAAGCCGGGGAGGUAAUGCCUCGGUGGUGACUGUAGUAUAUGAAUAAGCACCGGCUAAUUACGUGCCAGCCGCUGC
rnacentral:rRNA from 1 species